AAAUAAUUUAUAUAACAUAUUAAAACAAAAUUACGUACGUACAAUAACAGCAACAACCCAGACAACAACAUCAACAACAGCGACAGCUACACCAUUAUCGGUUAUCAUGGCACAUUUUUACUGUUUAUCACUGCACACUUCAACUUUAUUAAUUAUUACAUACAGCGCAAAUUAGUUAUCACUGCACACUAAAACCAGGCAAGACCCUUACAGGUUCGUUUAGAUUAUACUUCCUUUAGUUACGAUUACUAGCAGGGACCGAAAAUUGCACAACAAAAAAUGCUUAUCAUGAAAAUGGCGAUUAUCAGCCAAACACCAAAAAAAAGAGCAAUCGCCCAGGUUUUAAGUGGGCGGCCCCCUCGUCCUGAUACAGAAAAACCACCCCCGCCCCCUCUCC